CUCUGAGCGGAGCUCCAGCUCCAGCUCUGUGGAGGAGACGCGGGCUCACCUCCCUACCUGCCGCCCCGGCCACCGCACACCUGGCGGGUGGAGUGUGGGGAAACCUGGCCCUGGCGCCUGCCCACAGUACUGGCCUCGCUCACGGUGGCUGACCUGUCCAUUGUAUCCACUCUCGGAGUUUACGCCUUGGGUAGAAAAAUGCGCCUUUCCUAACGAUGAAGGAGAAUCCACAAAGAUCAGCCGGCUAGAUCAGCUCCUCCUCCUUGCUCUUCUGAGGCCCACUGCCCUGGGGACGGACAAAUGGAGUCUGGGGACCUCUCCGUGGGCUGGAUCCAAUCUCCGAUGCUGCUGCAGCGCCAAGAUCUCGGCACAUUCACAACAUGAUGCAAGAGACGGGCAGUCACUUCAGGAAAGAGAGAGAGAGGGCAGGUACAAGGGCAAUGGUAGGCGGAGCUUUCCCAAGAAGGGUGCCCAAACGAGAAGGCGUUAGAAGCUGCGUUCUUUCUCCAGGAGGGGAUGGACGAAAGCAAAGACCCCUGACCGUGACUGCAGGAACUCAGCCAGGCCCUUAGAAACCGGCGGCGGGCCCCGCCCCUGCGACCAGGAGCCCCGCAAGCUGUGCUCCGCCACCAACCACGUUUCCAGCCGCUACGGCGCGGACCCCUCCUCCGUUCUCCCCACGGGGGCGCACAGCUAGCCCACCCACCCUAGGGGGCGCAUGGAAACCGUGGGGUCCGCUGCGCGCACUUCGGAGUCUAUUCUGGGCGGCUCGGAGGCCUCAUCUCGAUCGCGGGCCCUCCAGGAGCCGCCCCGGUCCAGAGCAGGAUAGGAUGGAGGCUCCCCAAGGGAGGACUGCAGGAAGAUGGAACGGGAUUUCUUCACCUGCCCUUCAUCACCUAAGUGGGCCUAGACUCUAACUGGCUGUCGCUUCCGUGUCAUCGCCACGGUCCCCAUGUGCACCCCGUUUGUCCUCCCCUCUUCCUGCCCUAUGUCGCCUCCCCCAACUCCAUCUCCUUUCGUGACCGCUGGCCGGGUUGACCCUGCGGGGCCCGCGCACUUAACCCUCAGGCCAGCCUGUCCUCCUCUCCCUGUGUGCACCCCAACACCUCCCAGCUUGCUCUGGAGCAUGUAUUAGGUUGGUGCAAAAGUAAUUGCUGUUUUGCAAUUUUUUAAAUGGCAAAAGCCGCAAUUACUUUUGCACCACUUAUAAAUAGGCAAGGGAAACGUGCAAGAAAAGCCUUAGAGAAGGGGCCAAGAGCCAACCACCUAGCCGGCCAGGAGUAUGGGUUUGCCAGAGGCAUGAGAUAUACUGAAGCAGAAAAGGAAGAAAAAAGAUUAAGGAGACAAAUUGUUCGUGAAAAGGGGUUUCCUGAUAAAUUCAGAAACAGCAACUACCAGUUAUGGGGCACUUAAACUGACACUAUCUAAUUAAUCCUCACAACGGUCCUGUGCAGGUGGUGGUUUUGUUUUUUACCAUCUUACAUGCCAGAGCUGCAGUUGGUAUGUAACAAAGGCAGCAUUUGAACCCCGGCCUGCUCAUACCAGAGCGAGGGCAUUUAACUGCACCCACAAAGGACAAUGGAGGAAGACUGCGUCAUUGUAAUAUGAGCAAAUGGGGAAAAGACAAAACAAAUGCUUUUAUCAUGCCCAGGUUGCAAAUUUAUAAAGAUGAAUGAAAUACACAUACAAGAGGCUAA